rnacentral:tRNA from 1 species
GGUUGCGCAGUGGUUAGAGCGCUCGGCUGUGAACUGAGAGGUCGGUGGUUGGAACCCACCAGCCG